CCUACGGGAGGCAGCAGUGAGGAAUAUUGGUCAAUGGACGCAAGUCUGAACCAGCCAUGCCGCGUGCAGGAUGACUGCUCUAUGAGUUGUAAACUGCUUUUGUACGAGGGUAAACCCCGAUACGUGUACCGGGUUGAAAGUAUCGUACGAAUAACGAUCGGCUAACUCCGUGCCAGCAGCCGCGGUAAUACGGAGGAUCCGAGCGUUAUCCGGAUUGAUUGGGUUUAAAGGGUGCGUAGGUGGUUUGUUAAGUUAGUGGUGAAAGGUUGGGGCUCAACCCGGAAACUGCGUUUGAUACUGGCGGUCUAGAGAACAGUUGAGGUAGGCGGAAUGUGUGGUGUAGCGGUGAAAUGCUUAGAGAUCACGCAGAACCCCGAUUGCGAAGGCAGCUUACCAAACUAUAACUGACGUUGAGGCUCGAAAGCGUGGGUAUCAAACAGGAUUAGAUACCCUUGUAGUC
rnacentral:rRNA from 1 species